rnacentral:lncRNA from 1 species
AAAAACCACCUCCCACCACCCAUGGAAAAAAUGCUCAUGAUACAGUGUUGAAUGAAAAAGUCAAGAUUAUAUAUAUACAUCUAUCUAUCUAUUUUUUUUUUUUUUUUUUUUUUUUGAGACGGAGUCUCGCUGUCGCCCAGGCAGUGGUGUCGCCAGUGCAGUGGUGCAAUCUCGGCUCGCUGCAGGCUCCGCCCCCUGGGGUUCACGCCAUUCUCCUGCCUCAGCCUCCCGAGUAGCUGGGACUACAGGCGCCCGCCACCUCGCCCGGCUAAUUUUUUGUAUUUUUAGUAGAGACGGGGUUUCACCGUGUUAGCCAGGAUGGUCUCGAUCUCCGACCUCGUGAUCCGCCCGCCUCGGCCUCCCAAAGUGCUGGGAUUACAGGCGUGAGCCACUGCGCCCCGCCUUUUUUUUUUUUCAGACGGAGUUUCACUCCUGUUGCCCAGGCGGGAGUGCAAUGACACCAUCUUGGCUCACCGCAACCUCCGCCUCCUGGGUUCAAGCAAUUCUCCUGCCUCAGCCUCCCAAGUAGCUGGGGUUACAGGU